GAUGUUGUCGGAUGUAUUAGCGCCUGAUUCGUAAUCAGUAGGUCGGCAGUUCGAUUCUGCUCACCGGCUCCA
rnacentral:tRNA from 1 species